UGCGUAGGCGGGUUUUUAAGUCAGAGGUGAAAUCCUGGAGCUCAACUCCAGAACUGCCUUUGAUACUGAGAAUCUUGAGUAUGGGAGAGGUGAGUGGAACUGCGAGUGUAGAGGUGAAAUUCGUAGAUAUUCGCAAGAACACCAGUGGCGAAGGCGGCUCACUGGCCCAUAACUGACGCUGAGGCACGAAAGCGUGGGGAGCAAACA
rnacentral:rRNA from 1 species